AAAAUACGGGAGGCAGCAGUGAGGAAUAUUGGACAAUGGUCGGAAGACUGAUCCAGCCAUGCCGCGUGCAGGAUGAAGGUCUUAUGGAUUGUAAACUGCUUUUGCAGGGGAAGAAUAAGGACUACGCGUAGUUUGAUGACGGUACUCUGUGAAUAAGCAUCGGCUAACUCCGUGCCAGCAGCCGCGGUAAUUUU
rnacentral:rRNA from 1 species